CCCCAAGGUCCACAGGACCAAGCGCCCUCCUGUUUAAUGGCUGUUUCCCCUUCUCUUCACAGGUGGUGUCGCGGCAGAGACACAGCCCCUGUAUGUCAACAUACCCUUCAGGGCCGGCACAGCUCUGCAGCAAUGGAGCCGUGAUGGGCAGCUCCAGAUGGUGACCCACAACCAGCCAGCGCAGCCCAACAACCCUGGAGGGAAGCCCGGAGUGGAUCAAAACCCCCAGGAAGGGGUCAAGAGAGAAGAGGAUGCAGAUGCCAGGGUGAGCAAUCCUGUCUAUUCCAUGGUGACUCCCUCUAGCACCGUGGCCCAGAAGAGAGGAGGAAAAUAUAUCUCUGAGGAUGUGGUGUACAGUGAAAUCUCCUACUGAUCAUGGCCUCUGCCACCACCCACUCCCCAUCCCACCCCGCUGAGAAUACCUUUCGUAAUGCCCCAUCCCCCAGACUUUCCCUUCUCUGCAAAACCUGCUAAUGGCCACAAACUUCUUCCUGGUGUACUCUGAAUGCAAGGGAGUGGGGGGCUGGCAGCCAGGACUCCUGGGUCCUAUCCCAUCUCUGGGAGGGGAGUGGGGUUAGUGGGUUCGAGCAGGGGAUGGGGCUGGGACCCAGGCUCUGUGAAGGGAGUGGGUUAGAGCAGGGAGAGCAGUAAUUCCUAACGCUUGGGUUAGUUUCAGCACACGGGUUAGAGGAGGGAGUUUGGGUUUUAAUCUGUCAAAGAGAAGCGGUUGCAGAACUAUGUGAAAUAGUCCAGAGGGGCCCCUACCCCAUUUCUGCUCCAAUGCACAUUGCACCCUCUUGUGGGAAACCUUCUCUUACAAUGGGACCCCCCUGGAUAUUAUUACUCCUGUUCCUUCACCGUGGAGUUCUG